GACAGAGGUGCCGAGCGUUAGGCGGAAUCACUGGGCUUAAAGCGUGUGUAGGCGGGCCGUUAAGUGCCUUGUGAAAUCCCCGGGCUUAACCUGGGAACUGCAUUUGUGACUGCAUAGCUAGAGUACGGUAGAGGGGGAUGGAAUUCCGCGUGUAGCAGUGAAAUGCGUAGAUAUGCGGAGGAACACCGAUGGCGAAGGCAAUCCCCUGGACCUGUACUGACGCUCAUGCACGAAAGCGUGGGGAGCAAACAGG
rnacentral:rRNA from 1 species